rnacentral:rRNA from 1 species
GAUGAACGCUAGCGGCAGGCCUAAUACAUGCAAGACGAACGGUAAGUUGAGUAGCAAUACUUAGCCAAGAGUGUCGUACGGGUGCGUAACACGUAUGCAACCUACCCUAUACAGGAGGAUAGCCUAGGGAAACCUGGAUUAACCCUUCAUAGUAUUAUUGGAUGGCAUCAUUUGAUAAUUAAAACUGAGGUGGUAUAGGAUGGGCAUGCGUCUGAUUAGUUAGUUGGCGGGUAAUGGCCCACCAAGACGAUGAUCAGUAGGGGUUCUGAGAGGAAGAUCCCCCACACUGGCACUGAGAUACGGGCCAGACUCCUACGGGAGGCAGCAGUAGGGAAUAUUGGGUCAAUGGAUGCAAGUCUGAACCAGCCAUGCCGCGUGCAGGAAGAAGGCCUUCUGGGUUGUAAACUGCUUUUGCCAGGGGGAUAAAAUUUCCAUGCGUGGAAAACUGAAGGUACCUGGUGAGUAAGCCACGGCUAACUACGUGCCAGCAGCCGCGGU